GGGAGCAUAGCUCAGUUGGUUUAGAGCAUCUGCCUUACAAGCAGAGGGUCGGCGGUUCGACUCCGUCUGCUCCCA
rnacentral:tRNA from 1 species